GACGAACGCUGGCGGCGUGCUUAACACAUGCAAGUCGAACGGAAAGGCCCGGCUUUUGUGGGUUUCUCGUUUGGCGAACGGGUGAGUGACACGCGAGUAACCUGUCCUUGACUUUCUGAUAACUUCAGGAAACUGGGGCGAAUACCGGAUAGGAGCUCUUGCUGCAUGGGGGGGGUUGGUAAGAUUCGGCGGUUGUGGAUGGACUAGAUGGUUAUCAGCUUGUUGGUGGGGUAGUGGCUUACCAAGGCUUUGACGGGUAGCCGGCCUGAGAGGGUGACCGGCGACAUGGGGACUGCGAUACGGCCCAGACUCCAACGGGCGGCAGCAGUGGGGAAUAUUGCACAAUGGGGGGAAGCCUGAUGCAGCAACGCCGCGUGCGGGAUGACGGCCUUCGGGUUGUAAACCGCUUUCGACUGUGCCGAAGCGUGAGUGACGGUACUGGGUCAAGAAGCCCCGGCUAACUACGUG
rnacentral:rRNA from 1 species